rnacentral:lncRNA from 13 species
CCCCACCCGCUUCCUGCCCCGGCCGCGAGGCAGCCCUGGAUCGCACCCGGUUCCUUCCUUCCUUCGUUCUUUCAGGCAACUCGCAUUCCUCGAGCGCCUGCGUCGUGCCCUGCACUGGGCCUUCCCGACCUUCCAACUGUGGCCCCAGGCCCGCUGGGCUCCUCCGGGAAGCCUCUGCCUUCUCGGCUCUCCUUCCCUACCUACUCGCUCUGUUCAGUGAGGUGCUUCGCUGAGAGUCGAGCAUUUAAGUGUUCUCUGAUUAGUUCUCCUGUUAGAGGUUCAACUUCAUAUACAAAGACAGCGGCAAAUAAGUGUUUGAAAAGAGGCCAUUCACUGGUGGACAGCAUUUUACAGUCUAGGUGGUAACAUGGACUCGUUGGGGGGUGCUUCCGUGACCACCCCCUACCAUGGCUCAUAGAUGUUAGGGGACCUGCUAAAGGUCACCCUGGAGUAACUGUCAGAGCCAGUCUCCAAGGUGGCCUCCUUAGCCAGCGCUUUGCAUGUCUGCAGCUGUUUUGAAGCUUUGUGCAAACCGAUGGGUACUGCAGAAUUGGCCUCUUCCAGCCACAGCAGUGAUCCUGUUACUUUCUGUCUGUGAGUCUGGGAAAUAGACACUGGUUAAAACCUCAGCUUUGCUAUUUACCAGCUGUGCUAUCACAGAUAAGUUUUUUGUUUUUCUUUGUGUGUGUGUGUUUGUGUGUGUGUGGUUUAUUUGUUUUUUGAGAUAGGGUCUCAAUCUGUUACCCAAGCAGGAAUGCAGUGGCAUGAUCACUGCUCUUACUGCAGCCUUGGCCUCCCAGGUUCAAGUGAUCCUCCCACCUCAGCCUCCUGAGUAGCUGGGACUACAGGUAUGUGCCACCAUGCCCAGCUUUUUUCCUUUUGUAUUAACGUUGCCUCAGCUGGUCUAGAACUCCUGGGCUCAAGCAAUCUUCCCACCUCGGCUUCCCAAAGUGCUGGGAUUACAG